rnacentral:rRNA from 1 species
UGCAACCCGACUCCAUGAAGCUGGAUUCGCUAGUAAUCGCGCAUCAGCCACGGCGCGGUGAAUACGUUCCCGGGCCUUGUACACACCGCCCGUCAAGCCAUGGAAGCCGGGAGUGCCUGAAGUGCGUGACCGCAAGGAGCGUCCUAAGGCAAUACCGGUGACUGGGGCUAAGUCGUAACAAGGUAAC